GAUGAACGCUAGCGGCAGGCCUAACACAUGCAAGUCGAGGGAGAAGCCUUUCGGGGCAGAACCCGGCGCACGGGUGCGUAACGCGUAUGCAACCUACCUUUCACAGGGGGAUAGCCCGAAGAAAUUUGGAUUAAUACCCCAUAAUAUUGUUGGAUGGCAUCAUCUGCUAAUUAAAACUGCGGUGGUGAAAGAUGGGCAUGCGUCCUAUUAGCUAGUUGGAGUGGUAACGGCACCCCAAGGCUACGAUAGGUAGGGGUCCUGAGAGGGAGAUCCCCCACACUGGUACUGAGACAGGGACCAGACUCCUACGGGAGGCAGCAGUGAGGAAUAUUGGUCAAUGGUCGGAAGACUGAACCAGCCAUGCCGCGUGCAGGAAGAAUGCCUUAUGGGUUGUAAACUGCUUUUAUAUGGGAAGAAUAAGGUGUACGUGUACAUUGAUGACGGUACCAUAUGAAUAAGCAUCGGCUAACUCCGUG
rnacentral:rRNA from 1 species